rnacentral:rRNA from 1 species
GCUGAAUACAUAGGCUAACGAAGCGAACGCGGCGAACUGAAACAUCUAAGUAGCUGCAGGAAAAGAAAUCAACCGAGAUUCCCAAAGUAGUGGCGAGCGAAAUGGGAAGAGCCUGUACGUGAUAGUCGUUUGAAUAGUGGAAGCUUCUGGAAAUAAGCGCCAUAGAGGGUGAUAGCCCCUUACACGAAAUUCAAGCGGUGGUACUAAGCGUACGACAAGUAGGGCGGGACACGAGAAAUCCUGUCUGAACAUGGGGGGACCAUCCUCCAAGGCUAAAUACUCGUAAUCGACCGAUAGUGAACCAGUACCGUGAGGGAAAGGCG